rnacentral:rRNA from 1 species
AUUGAACGCUGGCGGCAGGCCUAACACAUGCAAGUCGAGCGGAUGAAGGGAGCUUGCUCCUGGAUGCAGCGGCGGACGGGUGCGUAAUGCCUAUGAAUCUGCCUGGUAGUGGGGGAUAACGUCCGUAAACGGGCGCUAAUACCGCAUACGUCCUGAGGGAGAAAGUGGGGGAUCUUCGGACCUCACGCUAUCAGAUGAGCCUAGGUCGGAUUAGCUAGUUGGUGGGGUAAAGGCCUACCAAGGCGACGAUCCGGAACUGGUCUGAGAGGAUGAGCAGUCACACUGGAACUGAGAAACGGUCCAGACUCCUACGGGAGGCAGCAGUGGGGACUAUUGGACAAUGGGCAAAAGCCUGAUCCAGCCAUGCCGCGUGUGUGAAGAAGGUCUUCGGAUUGUAAAGCACUUUAAGUUGGGAGGAAGGGCAGUAAGUUAAUACCUUGCUGUUUUGACGUUACCAACAGAAUAAGCACCGGCUAACUUCGUG